UUCACUUGUGCUCUGGAAAGCAAUGCACCUGGCCUGCCAUGGAGAUCAAGCAGAUCUACAAGAAUCUUUACCACCUCUUCUGCUCUGUGCUGAGGAACUGGCAGGACUGCAAGGAAGAAAAGGACAAACAGGCCGUCCUCGAGGCUGUGGCUACCAUGAUGGCUGUCCUCCUGCAAGCGGAGCUGCCUCAAGAGCCCAUCUGGGAGCAGCUCCUCUGUCUCGUGCGCCUGUAUCAGGAGGUCCAAGACACCUGCAGGGGGACCAAGAGCCUCUGUAUCUUCCUGGAGGCCUUAGAGGGAGUUCAAUCUGUCAUCCCUAAGGACAAGUUUCUGGCCAUCACCGGUGCUGUGUUCUACCAGCUCUCUGAUGACACCAAGGAGCACAGCGAGGCUGACAGAGCAGAACUGACCCGCUGCAUCCUGCUGCAGGCCCGGAUCUGCCCAGAUGAAACAGUUCUGUUUCUGCAGUCACAGCUGGGCACUGACAGGGAGGCUGGAUGCGUGGCAGCCCUGGGUCUGCUCGGUGCUCUGGCUCGCU
rnacentral:lncRNA from 1 species